UAAUUGAAGAGUUUGAUCAUGGCUCAGAUUGAACGCUGGCGGCAGGCUUAACACAUGCAAGUCGAGCGGUAGCACAGGGGAGCUUGCUCCCCGGGUGACGAGCGGCGGACGGGUGAGUAAUGUCUGGGAAACUGCCUGAUGGAGGGGGAUAACUACUGGAAACGGUAGCUAAUACCGCAUAACGUCGCAAGACCAAAGAGGGGGACCUUCGGGCCUCUUGCCAUCAGAUGUGCCCAGAUGGGAUUAGCUAGUAGGUGGGGUAAUGGCUCACCUAGGCGACGAUCCCUAGCUGGUCUGAGAGGAUGACCAGCCACACUGGAACUGAGACACGGUCCAGACUCCUACGGGAGGCAGCAGUGGGGAAUAUUGCACAAUGGGCGCAAGCCUGAUGCAGCCAUGCCGCGUGUGUGAAGAAGGCCUUCGGGUUGUAAAGCACUUUCAGCGAGGAGGAAGGCAUUAAGGUUAAUAACCUUGGUGAUUGACGUUACCCGCAGAAGAAGCCCCGGCUAACUUCGUGCCAGCAGCCGCGGUAAUACGAAGGGGGCUAGCGUUGUUCGGAAUUACUGGGCGUAAAGCGCACGUAGGCGGAUAUUUAAGUCAGGGGUGAAAUCCCAGAGCUCAACUCUGGAACUGCCUUUGAUACUGGGUAUCUUGAGUAUGGAAGAGGUAAGUGGAAUUGCGAGUGUAGAGGUGAAAUUCGUAGAUAUUCGCAGGAACACCAGUGGCGAAGGCGACACACUGGCUCAUUACUGACGCUGAGGCUCGAAAGCGUGGGGAGCAAACAGGAUUAGAUACCCUGGUAGUCCACGCCGUAAACGAUGAUUGCUAGUUGUCGGGAUGCAUGCAUUUCGGUGACGCAGCUAACGCAUUAAGCAAUCCGCCUGGGGAGUACGGUCGCAAGAUUAAAACUCAGAGGAAUUGACGGGGGCCCGCACAAGCGGUGGAGCAUGUGGUUUAAUUCGAAGCAACGCGCAGAACCUUACCACCUUUUGACAUGCCUGGACCGCCACGGAGACGUGGCUUUCCCUUCGGGGACUAGGACACAGGUGCUGCAUGGCUGUCGUCAGCUCGUGUCGUGAGAUGUUGGGUUAAGUCCCGCAACGAGCGCAACCCUCGCCAUUAGUUGCCAUCAUUUAGUUGGGAACUCUAAUGGGACUGCCGGUGCUAAGCCGGAGGAAGGUGGGGAUGACGUCAAGUCCUCAUGGCCCUUACAGGGUGGGCUACACACGUGCUACAAUGGCGACUACAGAGGGUUAAUCCUUUAAAGUCGUCUCAGUCCGGAUUGGAGUCUGCAACUCGACUCCAUGAAGUCGGAAUCGCUAGUAAUCGUAGAUCAGAAUGCUACGGUGAAUACGUUCCCGGGCCUUGUACACACCGCCCGUCACACCAUGGGAGUGGGUUGCAAAAGAAGUAGGUAGCUUAACCUUCGGGAGGGCGCUUACCACUUUGUGAUUCAUGACUGGGGUGAAGUCGUAACAAGGUAACCGUAGGGGAACCUGCGGUUGGAUCACCUCCUUA
rnacentral:rRNA from 1 species